rnacentral:rRNA from 1 species
UACGUAGGGUGCGAGCGUUAAUCGGAAUUACUGGGCGUAAAGCGUGCGCAGGCGGUUUUGUAAGUCAGAUGUGAAAGCCCCGGGCUCAACCCGGGAACUGCGUCCGAUACUGGAAGGCUUGAAUCCGGGAGAGGGAUGUGGAAUUCCAGGUGUAGCGGUGAAAUGCGUAGAUAUCUGGAGGAACACCGGUGGCGAAGGCGACAUCCUGGACCGGUAUUGACGCUGAGGCGCGAAAGCCAGGGGAGCAAACGGG